rnacentral:rRNA from 1 species
UAAAGAAUUUCGGUUAUCGAUGGGGAUGCGUUCCAUUAGUUAGUUGGCGGGGUAACGGCCCACCAAGACGACGAUGGAUAGGGGUUCUGAGAGGAAGGUCCCCCACAUUGGAACUGAGACACGGUCCAAACUCCUACGGGAGGCAGCAGUGAGGAAUAUUGGUCAAUGGACGAGAGUCUGAACCAGCCAAGUAGCGUGAAGGAUGACUGCCCUAUGGGUUGUAAACUUCUUUUAUAUGGGAAUAAAACAGGGUAUGCAUACCCUCUUGUAUGUACCAUAUGAAUAAGGAUCGGCUAACUCCGUGCCAGCAGCCGCGGUAAUACGGAGGAUCCGAGCGUUAUCCGGAUUUAUUGGGUUUAAAGGGAGCGUAGGUGGAUUGUUAAGUCAGUUGUGAAAGUUUGCGGCUCAACCGUAAAAUUGCAGUUGAAACUGGCAGUCUUGAGUACAGUAGAGGUGGGCGGAAUUCGUGGUGUAGCGGUGAAAUGCUUAGAUAUCACGAAGAACUCCGAUUGCGGAGGCAGCUCACUGGACUGCAACUGACACUGAUGCUCGAAAGUGUGGGUAUCAAACAGGAUUAGAUACCCUGGUAGUCCACACAGUAAACGAUGAAUACUCGCUGUUUGCGAUAUACGGUAA